UACGAAGGGGGCUAGCGUUGCUCGGAAUCACUGGGCGUAAAGGGUGCGUAGGCGGGUCUUUAAGUCAGGGGGGAAAUCCUGGAGCUCAACUCCAGAACUGCCUUUGAUACUGAAGAUCUUGAGUUCGGGAGAGGUGAGUGGAAUUCCAGGUGUAGCGGUGAAAUGCGUAGAUAUCUGGAGGAACACCGGUGGCGAAGGCGGCAUCCUGGACCGACACUGACGCUGAGAAGCGAAAGCGUGGGGAGCGAACAGG
rnacentral:rRNA from 1 species